rnacentral:lncRNA from 1 species
AAUCAACUAAGUGCCCUUUUAAAAGGGCCUCUGCCCCUUCCACCAAGUGAGGACACAGCAAGAAGUCAUGCUCUAUGAGAAAGCUGGCUCUCACCAGACACCAGAUCUGCUGGCACCUUGAUCUUGGACUUCUCAGACUUCAAAACUGUGAGAAAUAAGUUUCUGUUGUGUAUUAGCUACCCAGUUUACGGUAUUUUGUUGCAACAGCAUGAACAACCUAGGACAAUAAUUUUAAUGUGUAAAAUUAAAUUUAAAUGUUAAAUUAAGUUUAGCCUAAAGCUACUUCCUUACAUAUUUUAAGUUCAGCCUAAAGGUUUCUCCAUACAUAGUGAACUGUAACCUAACUGAAUGUGCAAACAGACUAUGACCUGCUCUUGUGACAAGCAGCUGAGGCUCAGCCAAUCACAGCAGCUGAGUUUCAGCCAAUCACAGGUGGCCAACUGUUUGUAUAAGGCAAACACCCAGCUGUCACCAAUCCAGCUGUUUCUGUACCUCACUUCUGUCUUUAGUCCGUCACUUUCCUUUCUCCAUAAAUGUUAUUCAACCACGUAGUAGCCCCGGGUUUGCUCUGAACCUGUUCUGGUUCUGGGGGCAGCCCAACUAUUGUAUCAUUCUCUGCUCAAACACUGUUAAAUUUAAUUUGUCUAAAGUGUUUCUUUUAACAAAGAGAAGGUGUAUUAGAUUUCCACCUAAUUUGAAAAUUUCAAAGCCAUAAUGGAGAAGCGCAGGCACUACUGGUCAUUUUUGUCCAGUAGAUGGAGCCCUAGUAGAAAGGAAACAGUCUGGCAAGUAUCAAAAUUUCUCAGAGGAAGAUUUGAACGGGGAAUUCACUGUGGAUUCCACACCCUAAGAGUCCAUUAGGCAGCCUGCCAGAGUUCUCCCCAGCCAGUCUGAGUGAGAACUCCCAGCGGAAGGACCCUGAAAUGAACUAAUAAAGUAACCAGCAGGACAAAGCAAUGUGCCAUGGAAAGAACAACAGAUUUGAUUUUAAUCCGAAUGCCAAGAGUUUGUUUUUGCAAACAUACAAAACUUUAGGAAUUAAGGUGGGUUGGAGGUGGAUUUGUGAUACUCAUUGGAUUAGAAAUAAAAGGUUAACAAGUAUAUUAAAAUUAAAGCCAUAAGGCUGUGAUUUUAUGGUGUGUAUGUAUUUGAGGGAAAGAGGAAAAAAUACAUUUAAAAGGCUUGUAAUUCCCUAAAUACCCAUGACUUAUUAAUUAUACAUGGAGUAAUUAAUAAUACAUAGAGUAAUUAUUACAAUAAUACAUGGAGUAAUUAAAAUUUCUGCAACAUUUGAUUAUCAAGAUGUGAUAUAAUUUAUUGAAUUGGAUUAUAGUUUGUGGAUGUGCUUAGCGCUCUACUACUUUUUAAAAUGCUCUCCCACACAUCAUCAUCAGAGCACAUCUCAGAGAUGGAAAUUUGUGAUUUGCCCAAGGUUAGUGGGGCAACUGAUAAAAAAAGGAUCCUGUCUUACAUACUCCCACCCUUUGUUGUAAGCUCCUGUUGGAUGCCAAGAAUCACCUGCUGCCUUAGUUCUUUGAACAGGUUUUAUGUGUUUGAUGGAAAAAGGGCACUUUUCAAGAGAGAGAAUAGCUGAGCUUUGAAGAAUGGAAUGACCAGGAUCUGAGUAGAGAGAGUGGCAGGAAGGGGAGCUGGGGCUAGGCAAGCUUGGGUUCACAGAGCUGCCCCUCUCUUAUCUACCUGGUGGAGGGGGAGUAGAGAUCAUGAUACUCCAACCCCUCUCUUCAUGAACCUGGAGUAGGGAGAGUAGAAGAGAGAGGGAACAGGGGAAUCUCAUAAGAUUGCUUGGUAGCAUAACGACCUCGGCGAAUUUAAAGUGGAACUGAGGUCCUUAGUCUUAGUCCAUUUGUGCUGCUAUAACAAAGUAUCUUACACUGGGUAAUUUAUAAACAACAGAAAUGUAUUGCUCACAGUUCUGGAGGCUGGGAAGUCCAAGAUAAAGUGCCAGCAGGUUCAAUGUCUGGUAAGGGCUCAUUGCACAGAGAUGGUACCUCUUGCUGCAUUCUCACAUGGUAGAAGGGAGCAAACAGCCUCCUUUUAAUCUCCUUUACAUUAUCCCAUUUAUGAAGGCAGUCUUCAUGACUUAAUCACUUCCCCCAAAGUCUCCACCUCCAUGCUAUGACAUUGAGGAUUAAGUUUCAGCCUAUGAUUUUGGAAAGCAUACCAACAUUCAGACCAUAGAACCAGCCAAUGAGAUUGUGGGCUAUUCUUCCACCAUACUCAAUGGGCAAAGACAUGGAGUAGGGCAGAGAGCUGGAUUUAACCAGGGUUGGAGUUUGGCCAAGUGAGUUUAAAGUACAAUUAAAAGGACAAGGGAGUUUGGGAUCUAUUCAAGAGGGUGACUAUGAUGGACCAUCCAAUUUCAGUUGGAUAAGGAAGUUGAGGACAGCAAGUCACAGUCACAGUCUGAGCCAAUUCUCAGUGGCCAGGGCUAUAGAAGGACACAGGCCAUAAGAAGAUAAGGAGGAACCUUGCACUGCUGGCCUCUGACAAAUGCAAGCUCCACAAGGCCAGGAAUCUUUCCUGUCCAAUUCACCACAGCAGCCUCAACCUGGCAGACAGUUCAGCAUACAGAGUAAAGCUAAGUGCCUAUGAUACUCCUGCUUGGUGCCUGGAGCUGAGGUGUUCUCCUAAGGUAAAGGGUGAUCCUGGAGAAGGGGCUUUCCAUUCUCCAUGCACAGAUGGACCUGUCCAUCACUCACACCCUCCAGAAUCCACAGUGAGCAAAGGCAAUUUCUCCAAAAUUAUAUCUAUUUUAUUUUACUUUCUUUUUUUUUUUUUUUGCAUUUUUGCAUGUUACAGGAAAAUAAAUGUGUUUUAAUUUUUUUAUCUUAAGACCUAAUCACUUUUAUUUCAUAUCCAGGGAGAAAAGACAAAAUAUUUUAAAAUUGGCAACCGGGCAUGGUGGCUCAUGUCUGUACUCCCAGCACUUUGGGAGGCCGAGAUGGGCGGAUCACUUGAGGUCAGGAAUUCAAGACCAGCCUGGCCAACAUGGCAAAACCCCAUCUCUACUGAAAAUACAAAAAAGAAAAAAAAAUUAGCCACCUUGGAUGUGGGCAUCUGUAAUCUCCGCUACUCAGGAGGCUAAGGCAGGAGAAUCACUUGAACCCGGGAAGUGGAUGUUGCAGUGAGCUGAGAUUGUGCCACCGUACCCCAGCCUGGGUGACAGAGCAAGAUUCCAUCUCAAAAAAAUAAAAUAAAAUAAUAAAAUUAAAAAUUGGCAUUUGGGAUAACAAGGAAGCUCCAUUCUGAAAUAGAUUCCAAUUAGAUCAAAGAUUGAAAUGCUAAAAGGAAAUUGCAAGGCACUAGAGGAAAACACGGAAAGAACCCCCAUUAAAUAUUGUAGACUGACCAUAUGCUUUCAUCUUCUCUCCCUGUCGUAGGCUAAAUAAUGGCUCCCAAAGAUGUGUCUACAUCCUAAUCUCCAGAAUCUGUGAAUGUUACUUUAUGUGGCAAGUACGUGGCAGAUGUAAUUAAGUCAAGGAUCUUUGGAUGGUUAUCCUGAAUUAUCUGGGUGGGCCCUAAAUACAAUCACAAGUGUCCUUAUAGGAGAGAGGCUGAAGGAGAUUUGGUACCAACAGAAGAGGAGGAGGAAAUUGUGAUCAUGCAGAAACUGGAGUGAUGGAGUCACAAGCCAAGGAAUGCCAGCAGCCACCAGAAGCCGAAAGAGGCCCUGCCAACACCUUGAUUUAGGCCUAAUGAAACUGAGUUUAGAUUUCUGGACCCCAGAACUGUGAAAGAAUAAAUUUCUGUUGUGUUAAGCCCCUAAUUUUGUGGUAAUGUG